rnacentral:rRNA from 1 species
UAGGGAAUCUUCGGCAAUGGGGGCAACCCUGACCGAGCAACGCCGCGUGAGUGAAGAAGGUUUUCGGAUCGUAAAGCUCUGUUGUAAGAGAAGAACGUGUGUGAGAGUGGAAAGUUCACACAGUGACGGUAACUUACCAGAAAGGGACGGCUAACUACGUGCCAGCAGCCGUGGUAAUACGUAGGUCCCGAGCGUUGUCCGGAUUUAUUGGGCGUAAAGCGGGCGCAGGCGGUUUAAUAAGUCUGAAGUUAAAGGCAGUGGCUUAACCUUUGUUCGCUUUGGAAACUGUUAAACUUGAGUGCAGAAGGGGAGAGUGGAAUUCCAUGUGUAGCGGUGAAAUGCGUAGAUAUAUGGAGGAACACCGGUGGCGAAAGCGGCUCUCUGGUCUGUAACUGACGCUGAGGCUCGAAAGCGUGGGGAGCAAACAGG